rnacentral:rRNA from 1 species
GACAGAGGUGCCGAGCGUUAGGCGGAAUCACUGGGCUUAAAGCGUGUGUAGGCGGACUUGUAAGUACCUUGUGAAAUCCCACAGCUCAACUGUGGAACUGCUUGGUAUACUGCUUGUCUUGAGCCACUUAGGGGCAGUCGGAACAGACGGUGGAGCGGUGAAAUGCGUAGAUAUCAGGAGGAACACCAAUGGCGAAGGCAGCUCUCUGGUCCUAUACUGACGCUGAGGUGCGAAAGCGUGGGGAGCGAACGGG